rnacentral:lncRNA from 10 species
GUUGGCAAGUAUGUAUGAGUGUGAGGUCCCCUGUGGUGCAGGAUGGAGUGGGGGUGAGAAGAGAAGUGGGAAGGGCAGCUGUGAACUGGCUCUUUCUCCUGGUGCUUCUCAGUGCAGAGCACUGAAGAGUUCAAGAACUCUACCUUCCAUUCUGAUCUCCCAGACCACUAGGAGGAUACACUAGUGUAGAGGCAGAUAGGAGGAGAGAACACCUUUUGUGUCACAGCUUUUUUUCUUGAUAGCAUCUGUGGCACACUUAGACAUCUAGUAGAUGGGCCUACAUUUACACUCUUGUUUUGGGCAGGGCAUGUGGUUGGCAGAAUAUUCUUCCAAUGAGCAUCUUUUGACUGGCCCAUUCAUGUAUCUUAGUUUCUUGAACCAACUCAUAGUCAUUUUUAAAUCUCUCUGUUCCUUUAUACAGGUGUGCCUCUUACUUGGAACCCACUUUCCCUCCAUUUCCUUUGUAAGUCUUUUGCUCAUUCAUCACCAAGGUUAGAAGUCAUUUCUCUGUGAACCCUUCCCUAUCAGAGCAGGUCUGAGCAUGUGGUGUCCGUUCAGUGGGGGUAAUGUGUGGGCAGCUGAAGUCUGAUUCGUACCUUCCAGACCAAAAGAAAGGCACUGGUUCCAGCGUAGUGUCCCAUAGCAGAAACAUGGCUCGGAGCUCAGUUUAAAGGUGUUCCUUGAAUGAGGCCAAUCCUUUUUGGGGGAGGGGAAGGGGAAGGAGGGUCUCCCAACCCCCGCCUUUUUUAUUUGAGAAAGAAUCUCAUUCUGUCACCCAGGCUGGAGUGAAGUGGUGUGAUCUCAACUCACUGCAACCUCCACCUCCUGGGUUCAAGGGAUUCUCCUGCCUCAGCCUCCAGAUUAGCUGGGACUACAGGCACCCACCACCACACCCCGCUAAUUUGAGAUCUCCCCUUUUUUAUCCUUUCUCACUGUAUUUAUGUGUGUCUUGGUCAGAGUCUUCGUCUGGAUUCAGUGGGAUGGCAUUACAUGGUGGUGUAGGUGUCCUGAAACUGAAGGAGAAAUUUAGGUCUGUGUGGCCACAUUAGUUCCUCUCAGGAGAGAGCAGGCAUCCAACUUCAAUGAGGAAUGCAACAGAGAGAGAG